rnacentral:rRNA from 1 species
CUCUCCUCGGCCAAGGAAGGGGUGGUAAGGGCAUGGAAACAAAGGAGAAGGGGAUGGAUCAGAGCUCAGGACUGGCUGGUUAGAGCUGGAUGUAGGGAUGAGAAGGUGGCGCACGCGCGCACCGGAUGUUCGGUGGCGGUACGGGUAUCGAGUGCUGGCGGCCGACUGCGGAGGGGAGUUUGGGGAGGUGGCAACGGCCGAAGCGGCAAGGACAAGUACGAGUAGCGGAGGGACGACAGGGCCAGUGCGGGCGUUCGAAACCGGCAGCCUAAAACUCCAUCACAUGACUACUUCUGUCUCUAGCUCCUCCUUCCGUGGUCUCCCAGGACCUGACUCCUCCUGUUUAGGGAAACACGAAGACACAACCCGAAUCUACGGAAGUGUAUAGACUGCUUUCCACCUCCACGGUAUAGACUUUUAGAGCAUCGUCGCAGACGCAACCACCCGAACGUUUUAUUUGAGGUCCUGGAUCAACUUCGACUACCAUUUUCGGAAGCAACCUUGAUGCGGUAGAAGACCGUUGAGAGGGUGUGGUUUAGACCACUUGAACAGGAACCGACCCCACUACCUAGAACAGCACUUGGGGUACUAUUACCUCCAUUAUCGUAGGGUCCAUGGGAUUGAACGUAGGUUACACUACUAGAUCAGGAUUUGAACGUUUUGAUC